rnacentral:rRNA from 1 species
UACAGAGGUCCCAAGCGUUGUUCGGAUUCACUGGGCGUAAAGGGUGCGUAGGUGGCAGGGUAAGUUUGAUGUGAAAUCUCCGGGCUUAACCCGGAAACUGCAUUGAAUACUAUCUUGCUCGAGGUUUGGAGGGGGGACUGGAAUUCUCGGUGUAGCAGUGAAAUGCGUAGAUAUCGAGAGGAACACCAGUGGCGAAGGCGAGUCCCUGGACAACACCUGACACUGAGGCACGAAAGCUAGGGGAGCAAACAGG